AAGCAGCCCUCCUUCUGACAGGCACAGCACAGUCCUCUUCUUUCUAGCCUCCUCACCGUGUAACACAAUGGGUGGCUGUGUCUCCUCACAAGAGCCCUCUGACUGACACGUCUCUCCCCUCACUUCCCCGGUAACUGACGCUCUAAUCCCCUCUCGCACCACUCAGAUGGCCAUUCUCUGAACUGUCCCUUUCCGCGUGACAGCUCCCCCUUCCUCCCUCACACAGCAGCCCUGCAGCUGAUCUUCGGUUAUGCAGGUCCCCCCCUCUGACUCAUCACUUGGUACAGCCGUAGACGCUUAUUUCUCUUGCUCCUUUGCGACUGCGGCUUGGACAGUUCCACAGACCUACAGAGCAGAGGGGGAGGCAGCCGGCACUACGCAGCAGUUCUGGAACAGCUGGACGAUUUUCGGGGCUCUCCACUUCACUUGUUGCAGUCGGCCAAAUCUUUCUCUGGCACACCUCAUAGUCUAAAGCAGUUGAGUCGAGAAUUAAGAACAUCCAUGGAGGGAAAAUACAAAGAAAUAGCAGAGGAACUGUUCAGUCGUUCCCUUGCUGACAGUGAAAUGCGUUCUGCUCCAUAUGAAUUUCCAGAGGAAAGCCCCAUUGAGAAGCUUGAGGAAAGGAGACAACGACUAGAACGUCAGAUAAGUCAAGAUAUCAAGUAAGGGAACACACGUGGAAA